AACUGAUACUACCUGCGGGAACCUGCGGAGGGAUCAUUACUGAAGUGAUUUGGGGAUGUUGCUGGCCCUCUCUCAAGGGGGGGCACUGUGCACUCCUCGAAACAAUUCACAAUUUCCAUCACACCCCUUGUGCACACCUUGUAGGCACCCAAACCCACCUCCGGGUGGUGGGGUCCUAUGUAUUCCUUCAUCUCACACUCUGUUGAAUGGUGCCAUGGGACGCAUCUAAAGGAUUAUUUG
rnacentral:misc_RNA from 1 species